rnacentral:rRNA from 1 species
AUUGAACGCUGGCGGCAGGCCUAAUACAUGCAAGUCGAACGGUGUCUUCGGACAUAGUGGCGCACGGGUGCGUAACACGUAUGCAACCUACCUUACAUUGGGGGAUAGCCUUUCGAAAGGGAGAUUAAUACCGCAUAAGACAGUAGCUGGGCAUCCAGCAGCUGUUAAAGAUUUAUCGAUGUAAGCUAGGCAUGCGUCCAAUUAGCUAGUUGGUGAGGUAACGGCUCACCAAGGCAAUGAUUGGUAGGGGAACUGAGAGGUCAAUCCCCCACACUGGCACUGGGAUACGGGCCAGACUCCUACGGGAGGCAGCAGUAGGGAAUAUUGGGCAAUGGACGCAAGUCUGACCCAGCCAUGCCGCGUGCAGGAUGAAGGCGUUAUGCGUUGUAAACUGCUUUUAUACAGGAAGAAACGACUCUUGCGAGAGGCAUUGACGGUACUGUAUGAAUAAGCACCGGCUAACUCCGUGCCAGCCGCCGCGGUAAUAC